CACCCCAGGUAAUGGGCAAAGGGAUACCUUGUUGGUGGUGCUGUUCUUGUAUCAGUCAGGGCAGAGCAGAUGGCGGUCCUUUGUGCAUCCUAACUUGAUGCCUGGUUUGGUGGCCAAAGCUGCUUUAUGCCUAGGACUCAGAA
rnacentral:snoRNA from 1 species